rnacentral:rRNA from 1 species
GACGAACGCUGGCGGCGUGCUUAACACAUGCAAGUCGAACGGAAAGGCCUGCUUUCCCUUGUGGAUUGCGGGUACUCGAGUGGCGAACGGGUGAGUAACACGUGAGUGAUCUGCCCCCAACUUGGGUAUAAGCCUGGGAAACUGGGUCUAAUUCCCGAUAGGACUGCAGGGUGGUGCCUGUGGUGGAAAACGAUUUUCUAGUGGUUGGGGAUGAGCUCGCGGCCUAUCAGCUUGUUGGUGGGGUAAUGGCCUACCAAGGCGGCGACGGGUAGCCGGCCUGGGAGGGUGGACGGGCACAUUGGGACUGAGAUACGGCCCAGACGCCUACGGGAGGCAGCAGUGGGGAAUAAUGCACAAUGGGCGGAAGCCUGAUGCAGCGACGCCGCGUGGGGGAUGACGGCCUUCGGGUUGUAAACUCCUUUCGACCGCGAGGAAGCCACCUGGUUGGAAGGGUGGUGACGGUAGUGGUAGAAGAAGCACCGGCUAACUACGUG